AGUGAACGCUGGCGGUAGGCCUAACACAUGCAAGUCGAACGGCAGCACAGUAAGAGCUUGCUCUUACGGGUGGCGAGUGGCGGACGGGUGGGGAAUACAUCGGAAUCUACUUUUUCGUGGGGGAUAACGUAGGGAAACUUACGCUAAUACCGCAUACGACCUACGGGUGAAAGCUGGAGAUCUUCGGACCUUGCGCGAUUGAAUGAGCCGAUGUCGGAUUAGCUAGUUGGCGGGGUAAAGGCCCACCAAGGCGACGAUCCGUAGCUGGUCUGAGAGGAUGAACAGCCACACUGGAACUGAGACACGGUCCAGACUCCUACGGGAGGCAGCAGUGGGGAAUAUUGGACAAUGUGCGCAAGCCUGAUCCAGCCAUACCGCGUGGGUGAAGAAGGCCUUCGGGUUGUAAGGCCCUUUUGCUGUGAAAGAAAAGCAGCAGGUUAAUACCCCGCUGUUCUGACGGUACCUAAAGAAUAAGCACCGGCUAACUUCGUG
rnacentral:rRNA from 1 species